UCCCUGGCAUGAAGGAUGAUGCUUAUUAUU
rnacentral:piRNA from 1 species